CAGUGGCGGAGCCGGGGGGUGGCUUACUGGGCUUAAGCCCGGGUUGUUUUGUCAGAAGCCCGGGGUCUUUUGGAGUGUAAUUUUUUCAUAGUUAGAUGUCUGGCUGACACUGUAUAAAACAAAAACUACACACAAUAUUCGAAGCACAUAGUGCACACUGUAGGAAUUUACGACUGUGCGUAAAUCCCCCCUAAUAUUGGUAUGAUCCGAGCUCAGACACUAAGCGGGGCAGCUGCUGCGCUGUUAGAGAAACGCAGCCAGGCAGACAGAGGAGAACUGAAGUUCGACCAGGCUAGCUGUGCACUGAAAGAGAGAGGCCCCAGACUGGAAGGUUAAUGCGAGAUGGCAAGUGUGAUGCGGCGACCAAGUCCUGACCUCAUGGAACGGCAACAGACACCGACGCAAGGGGAGCUGUGGCGGUGGUCACAUCAUGGAUUCGGGUGCAGAACGCAAGCCGGGCUGGGAAGCGAUGGGCCAGCGGAAGGACAAGAAGAUGGGUGGCUCUUUCUUCUCUGCUGAAGACGGGGCUGGCGUGGACUCUGCUCUAAAGGAGGAAUUCCUGGCCUGCUGAUGGACCCAUAAUGAACAUGUGGCCUAAUUAUAGCAGGGGGGUUUUUAGUGAAUGUAGAAAAUGGUAGUUUUACGGGUUUUAGAAUUGUUUUUAGUAGAGGGCAAACAUUUUAUUACAUACAUUUUAAGGGUGUUUUUAUUUGUGCUCCCUGGCCUAGUAAUAAACUGUUUCUGAUCAGACCUGCUUCCUCUCUGUGCCCGUGGUAUCUGACUCGCUUGCUCCCCCUUGUAUUUUAAAGAAUCUUUCUUUUUAGCGUGGCAUUCUGGCGCGACCGCUUUAGUGUAUCCGCCGCGCGCUACAGUUAUUUAUUUUGUUUGUUUUUGUUUGUUUGCUUCUUGCUUUUGGUUGUUGCAUCUCCGUAUUUGCUG
ensembl:lncRNA